GAUGAACGCUGGCGGCGUGCCUAAUACAUGCAAGUUGAGCGAACAGACGAGGAGCUUGCUCCUCUGACGUUAGCGGCGGACGGGUGAGUAACACGUGGAUAGCCUACCUAUAAGACUGGGAUAACUUCGGGAAACCGGAGCUAAUACCGGAUAAUAUAUUGAACCGCAUGGUUCAAUAGUGAAAGACGGUUUUGCUGUCACUUAUAGAUGGAUCCGCGCCGCAUUAGCUAGUUGGUAAGGUAACGGCUUACCAAGGCAACGAUGCGUAGCCGACCUGAGAGGGUGAUCGGCCACACUGGAACUGAGACACGGUCCAGACUCCUACGGGAGGCAGCAGUAGGGAAUCUUCCGCAAUGGGCGAAAGCUUGACGGAGCAACGCCGCGUGAGUGAUGAAGGUCUUCGGAUCGUAAAACUCUGUUAUUAGGGAAGAACAAAUGUGUAAGUAACUAUGCACGUCUUGACGGUACCUAAUCAGAAAGCCACGGCUAACUACGUG
rnacentral:rRNA from 1 species